CCAGUGGAGGUUCAGUGGUAGAAUUCUUGCCUUCCAUGCAGGAGACCCAGGUUCGAUUCCUGGCCAAUGCA
rnacentral:tRNA from 1 species